rnacentral:rRNA from 1 species
GCCAAUGCAUGCUUUUACAGUAUGAAAAUUGGUGAUUUAUAAUAACUURGCAAAUCGCAAAGUGAAAACAGGCGAUAAAUCAUUCAAGUUUCUGACCUAUCAGCUUUCGACGGUAUGGUAUUGGCUUACCGUGGCAGUGACGGUUAACGGGGGAUUAGGGUUCGAUUCCGGAGAGGGAGCCUGAGAAACGGCUACCACAUCUAAGGAAGGCAGCAGGCGCGCAAAUUACCCAAUUCUAACAGUUUGAGAGAGGUAGUAACAAGAAAUAACAAUACAAGGCAAUUAAAAUGCUUUGUAAUUGGAAUGAUAGAAAUUUAAACCCUUUUUAAAGUAUCAAUUGGAGGGCAAGUCUGGUGCCAGCAGCCGCGGUAAUUCCAGCUCCAAUAGCGUAUAUUAAAAUUGUUGCAGUUAAAAAGCUCGUAGUUGAAGUUCUGCUAAAAGUAACCGGUCUGCUUUUAAUAAAAGUGGUAUCUUGGUGUGUAUUUAGCAAUGAUGUCCUUUGAAGUGUUUUUUACUUUAUUGUAAUAAAGCAUAUUCAGGACUUUUACUUUGAGAAAAUUAGAGUGUUUCUAGCAGGCCGACGCUUUGAAUACUG